CCAGGUUGAUUCUGCCUGACGUAGACGCUAUUCCCUAAGAUUAACCCAUGCAUGUUAUUGAUUUUUGAAAAAUGGACUGCUCAGUAAUACUCACUUUAUUUUAUGUAUACUUAUUAUAACUACGUUAAAGUGUAGAUAAAAUGUAUACAGUAAGAGUGAGACCUAUCAGCUAGUUGUUAAGGUAAUGGCUUAACAAGGCAGUGACGGCUAACGGUAUUACUUUGUAAUAUUCCGGAGAAGGAGCCUGAGAGACGGCUACUAAGUCUAAGGAUUGCAGCAGGGGCGAAACUUGACCUAUGGAUUUUAUCUGAGGCAGUUAUGGGAAGUAAUAUUAUAUUGUUUCAUAUUUUAAAAGUAUAUGAGGUGAUUAAUUGGAGGGCAAAUCAAGUGCCAGCAGCCGCGGUAAUACUUGUUCCAAGAGUGUGUAUGAUGAUUGAUGCAGUUAAAAAGUCCGUAGUUUAUUUUUAAGAAGCAAUAUGAGGUGUACUGUAUAGUUGGGAGAGAGAUGAAAUGUGACGACCCUGACUGGACGAACA
rnacentral:rRNA from 1 species